rnacentral:sRNA from 1 species
UUUUAGCCCUGAUGGAAGCGGCAUCCUGUCAUUGCGCGGAACGAAGCAAUGACAGAUAUAGCGUACAGCAGGAAAUAGC